rnacentral:rRNA from 1 species
UACGAAGGGGGCUAGCGUUGUUCGGAUUUACUGGGCGUAAAGCGCACGUAGGCGGAUCGUUAAGUCGGGGGUGAAAUCCUGGAGCUCAACUCCAGAACUGCCUUUGAUACUGAGGAUCUUGAGUUCGGGAGAGGUGAGUGGAACUGCGAGUGUAGAGGUGAAAUUCGUAGAUAUUCGCAAGAACACCAGUGGCGAAGGCGGCUCACUGGCCCGAUACUGACGCUGAGACGCGAAAGCGUGGGGAGCAAACAGG